UUCGAACCCUGCUAACACAAAUGAGUCUUCAUUUGAAUUUUUGUUGAAAUUCACUGUUAAAUCUGCCAUUUCAAGCUAAUGACAAUACAUUUGCAUCAGUUCCAUGUCAUGAAGUUCAGAUGUAUUUGACUGACGAGUGGGAUUUUUCUCUGUCCUAACAGGCAAAGUUCAGUCCCGGGAUGGAGGGGCAGGUCCUGGGGACAGCCUUGCCGUAAAGUCACACCUUCAAGGACAUCUAGAAAAAACUCCUACAUUCAAACCAUGGACCACAAUUUCUAUUUUCUGUCGGCAAGAAGAAUAGAAAGGAUGUGCAAAUCUAUUCAAGCGUGUCCUUUUGCAGUCGCUGUUGGCUUUCCCGUCCUGCCACCCAAUCCAUUUUGCUUGGUUAAGAGGAUGUAUUUAGGUCAUGAUGUGCACUUCUACAGAUAGCCCAUCUUCAGGUAAUCCCAUAGGUCGCACUCCAUUCAAGUAGAAGUGCAGACUGAAUGGCACCGCAUUGAUUUUUUGGGGGAAAGGAUGUAUUUUACAGACUUGCAGUAAGUAUAUGCAACUGGGUCAAAGUGUCUUGGUCUGUACAUGACAUAAUCUACAAACACUCUGACAGUGUAUCGUAUAAGGCUGAUAUCCCGUCUAUAGUUUCUAACCUAUAUGUGCUUUGAAAAGGUAUCGUAUGUAGCAUACAAAAUUCUGAUGCAACGCUGACCAAACGUCCAUCCUGAACAAAUAAGAACCAUGAUAGAUUCCAUCGUACCUACAAGACAACUAUUCCUGUAAAUCCCUGAUAACAUUGCAACUGAGAUAUCAUGCUGGUCAUGGGUUAAAAGGUGCCAAUUCACUGAGUCUGUUGUAAGUUGACUUUGCUUCUGAUUACUGAUACAUACAAAAUUCACCAGCAGGUUUGAUCGCCCAUAGUCCUGCAUAUGCACAUUACCUUCUGGAGCAGUGUUUCAAAAAUUACACUAGAUGUUUAUGGUAGUACCGGUACAUGCCCGUACAGUUGACAAUAUCCCCAACUAAGGUGAAUUUGUUAAACAUAAUUGAUCAAGAUUAUAUGGGAAAUAAGGGACCGGUAAGUGGUAAACUGUAAUAUAGGAAAAAGACUGAUCAUCAAAAUUAGCGGUUCAACCAAUGAAAGCAUUGCAGUUAGCAGGUCGACCAAUGAGAGACUUGCAUUUUCAUGCAUUUCAAUGUUUUGACAAAGGUAGGGGAGGCUAUCAGCCUAUAACAGUCCAAGAUGGCUAGUGGAUGUUGUUUGCAUAUUAGGGACAUGUCACUUCGUACCAACCGAAUUUCCCACUGAUGCAAAUGAUGCUGAUGAUUAUGAUGGAACAUGGAGUAAAAGUACCUUCAGUACAAGCAGGUGCUUGUCAACCGAAUUUGAACAAAACAAAUUCAGUGAUGUGAAAUUGCCAGUAUGGUUAAGUUUGUAUCAUUUAUCUUUCAAAAGAACAAAAAGGAAAACACUUAAAUGUCAAGAUGGUGAACUGUAUUUGUUAAACUGUAUCUCUUCCAUCAUUCCAGCCGAAAUCAGAAAGAAAAAAAAA